UACCUUGCGAGAAAUCCACGGCUAACUACGUGCCAGCAGCCGCGGUAAUACGUAGGUGGCAAGCGUUGUCCGGAAUUAUUGGGCGUAAAGCGCGCGCAGGCGGCCUUUUAAGUCUGAUGUGAAAGCCCCCGGCUCAACCGGGGAGGGUCAUUGGAAACUGGAAGGCUUGAGUACAGAAGAGAAGAGUGGAAUUCCAUGUGUAGCGGUGAAAUGCGUAGAGAUGUGGAGGAACACCAGUGGCGAAGGCGACUCUUUGGUCUGUAACUGACGCUGAGGCGCGAAAGCGUGGGGAGCAAACAGGAUUAGAUACCCUGGUAGUCCACGCCGUAAACGAUGAGUGCUAGGUGUUGGGGGGUUUCCGCCCCUCAGUGCUGAAGCUAACGCAUUAAGCACUCCGCCUGGGGAGUACGGCCGCAA
rnacentral:rRNA from 1 species